AUUGAACGCUGGCGGCAUGCCUUACACAUGCAAGUCGAACGGUAACGGGCCUUCGGGUGCCGACGAGUGGCGCACGGGUGAGUAAUACAUCGGAACGUGCCCGAUCGUGGGGGAUAACGAGGCGAAAGCUUUGCUAAUACCGCAUACGAUCUACGGAUGAAAGCAGGGGACCGCAAGGCCUUGCGCGGACGGAGCGGCCGAUGGCAGAUUGGGUGGUUGGUGGGAUAAAAGCUUACCAAGCCGACGAUCUGUAGCUGGUCUGGGAGGAUGAUCAGCCAAACUGGGACUGAGACACGGCCCAGACUCCUACGGGAGGCAGCGGUGGGGAAUUUUGGACAAUGGGCGCAAGCCUAAUCCAGCAUGCCGCGUGCAGGAUGAAGGCCUUCGGGUUGUAAACUGCUUUUGUACGGAACGAAAAGCCUUCUUUUAAUACAGGAGGGUCAUGACGGUACCGUAAGAAUAAGCACCGGCUAACUACGUG
rnacentral:rRNA from 1 species